AGUCGAACGGGAUUUUUUGUGUAGUAAUACAUAAAAAGUCUAGUGGCGAACGGGUGCGUAACACGUGAGCAAUCUGCCGGGAAGUGGGGGAUAGCUCGCCGAAAGGCGAAUUAAUACCGCAUGUGGCCAGAGGGGACAUCCCUUCGACGCCAAAGUCGCAAGACGCUUCCUGAUGAGCUCGCGGCCUAUCAGCUUGUUGGUGAGGUAAUGGCUCACCAAGGCUUUGACGGGUAGCUGGUCUGAGAGGACGACCAGCCACACUGGAACUGAGACACGGUCCAGACACCUACGGGUGGCAGCAGUCGAGAAUUUUUCACAAUGGGGGCAACCCUGAUGGAGCGACGCCGCGUGGAGGAUGAAGGUCUUCGGAUUGUAAACUCCUGUCAUGCGAGAACAAGAAAGUGAUAGUAUCGCAAGAGGAAGAGACGGCUAACUCUGUGCCAGCAGCCGCGGUAAUACAGAGGUCUCAAGCGUUGUUCGGAUUCAUUGGGCGUAAAGGGUGCGUAGGUGGCGCGGAAAGUUGAGUGUGAAAUCCUAGGGCUUAACCUUAGAACUGCACUCAAUACUCCCAUGCUAGAGGAAUGGAGAGGAGAGUGGAAUUCACGGUGUAGCAGNGAAAUGC
rnacentral:rRNA from 1 species